GAUGAACGCUGGCGGCGUGCUUAAUACAUGCAAGUCGAACGAAGAGUCUUUGUAGCAAUACGAGGGCUUCUUAGUGGCGAACGGGUGCGUAACGCGUUGGUGACCUGCCCCGAAGUGUGGGAUAACAGUUCGAAAGGAUUGCUAAUACCGCAUGUGGUUUUCCGGAUUAGAAGCCGGAUCUCUAAAGCAGUAAUGCGCUUCGGGAGGGACCUGCGUCCCAUCAGCUAGUUGGUGAGGUAACGGCCCACCAAGGCUACGACGGGUAGGGGACCUGAGAGGGUGGUCCCCCACACUGGCACUGAAACACGGGCCAGACGCCUACGGGUGGCAGCAGUAGGGAAUAUUGGGCAAUGGGCGAAAGCCUGACCCAGCAACGCCGCGUGCAUGAUGAAGGUCUUCGGAUCGUAAAAUGCUUUUCUGAGAGAUGAGAAAGGACAGUAUCUCAGGAAUAAGUCUCGGCUAACUACGUGCCAGCCGCCGCAGUAAAAC
rnacentral:rRNA from 1 species